CGAACGGUAACAGGUUAAGCUGACGAGUGGCGAACGGGUGAGUAAUGUAUCGGAACGUGCCCAGUCGUGGGGGAUAACUACUCGAAAGAGUGGCUAAUACCGCAUACGACCNGAGGGUGAAAGCGGGGGAUCGCAAGACCUCGCGCGAUUGGAGCGGCCGAUAUCAGAUUAGCUAGUUGGUGGGGUAAGAGCCCACCAAGGCGACGAUCUGUAGCUGGUCUGAGAGGACGACCAGCCACACUGGGACUGAGACACGGCCCAGACUCCUACGGGAGGCAGCAGUGGGGAANNUUGGACAAUGGACGAAAGUCUGAUCCAGCCAUGCCGCGUGUGGGAAGAAGGCCUUCGGGUUGUAAACCACUUUUGUCAGGGAAGAAACGGCUCUUACUAAUAUUAGGAGCUAAUGACGGUACCUGAAGAAUAAGCACCAGCUAACUACGUGCCAGCAGCCGCG
rnacentral:rRNA from 1 species